GACGAACGCUGGCGGCGUGCUUAACACAUGCAAGUCGAACGGAAAUUCCCUGCUUUUGUGUGGUGCUCGAGUGGCGAACGGGUGAGUAACACGUGAUUUACCUUCCCUUGACUUUGAGAUAACUUCAUUUAACUUUGUCUACUACCGGUUAGUAGCUCCUGCUUCAUGGUUGUGUUUGGAUAGUUUCGGCGGUUGGGGAUGUACUCUCGGCUUAUCAGCUUGUUGGUGGGGUAGUGGCUUACCAAGGCUUUGACGAGUAGCCGGCCUGAGAGGGUGACCGGCAAAAUUGGGACUGAGAUAAGGCCCAGAGUCAUAAGGGAGGCAGCAGUGGGGAAGAAUGAACAAUGGACGGAAGCCGGAUGCAGCAAGGCGGCGUGAGGGAUGACGGCCUUCGGGUUGUAAACCGCUAUCGCCUGUGACGAAGGGUGAGUGACGGUAAUGGGGAAAGAAGCACCGGCUAACUACGUG
rnacentral:rRNA from 1 species